rnacentral:misc_RNA from 1 species
CUCGUGUCGCUGGGUUCGAGCGUAUCUUUGCGCGUCGUUUUGUGAACCCCGUAGUUCGCAAUCACGUUGACGUCUGUCGCCAUUUCCUCGCACAGGGGGAAAGCAUUCGUUUAUUUUCUAAGGUAAAUCGUCAAGGAUUUAUUCUACAAGGAUAAAACGACGACGAUUUUAAUCUAAUCGUUAUAUAUUUAAUAUCCUAAGAUAUUAUUAUUCAAGUGCAAUUGAAAUUAAUACUAAAUGCGUGUGUCCAAAGACGAAGAAGGAACUAUGGCAGAAGGAAAUGGGGAAAUAAAAAUGGAAGAGAAGCAGUCGAAGGAGGAAAUGGAAUAUACAGAACGGACAGAAGACUACACAAAACUAAUCCAAUACGGACUAGAUGAAAAAGUGGCUGCGAAACUUGAUGAAAUUUACAAGACGGGAAAGCUGGCACAUGUGGAUUUGGAUGAAAGGGCAUUAGAUGCUUUAAAGGAAUUUCCAGUUGAAGGCGCAUUAAAUGUACUCACACAAUUCCUUGAAUCUAAUUUAGAACAUGUGUCCAACAAAUCAGCAUUUCUCUGUGGCGUAAUGAAAACUUAUAGGCAAAAAAGUCGUGCCGGUCAAGGUACUGGUACGAGUACGACAUCUAAGGCACCUGAUGAGGAUAAAAUCAAGAUGAUACUUGAAAGAACUGGUUAUCCAUUGGAUGUAACAACAGGACAAAGAAAAUAUGGCGGACCGCCACCAAAUUGGGAGGGCCCGACUCCAGGAACUGGUUGUGAAGUGUUUUGUGGUAAAAUCCCAAAAGAUAUGUAUGAAGAUGAGUUAAUACCGUUAUUCGAAAAAUGUGGCAAAAUUUGGGAUUUGAGACUGAUGAUGGAUCCUAUGUCAGGUUGCAACAGGGGAUACGCAUUUAUCACUUUCACUAACAGGGAUGCUGCUCAAUUGGCUGUCCGUGAGCUGAAUGAUUAUGAGAUUCGGAAAGGGAAAAAGAUUGGUGUUACCGUAUCUUAUAACAAUCACCGCUUGUUUGUGGGAAAUAUUCCAAAGAAUCGAGACCGAGAUGACUUGUUCGAAGAGUUUACAAAGCACGCACCGGGCCUGACUGAGGUGAUUAUCUACAGUUCACCAGAUGACAAAAAGAAGAACAGAGGUUUCUGCUUUCUAGAAUAUGAAUCUCAUAAAGCAGCCUCAUUAGCAAAACGAAGACUAAGCACUGGUCGCAUCAAGGUCUGGGGCUGUGAUAUCAUAGUUGAUUGGGCUGAUCCACAGGAAGAGCCUGAUGAAUUAACAAUGUCCAAAGUACGAGUGUUAUAUGUUAAAAAUUUAACGCAAGAUUGUUCUGAAGAAAAAUUAAAAGAAUGUUUCGAACAAUAUGGAAAAAUUGAAAGAGUUAAAAAAAUUAAGGACUACGCUUUUGUGCAUUUUGAAGACAGGGAUAAUGCUGUAAAGGCAAUGAACGAGUUAAAUGGUAUAGAAAUUGGUGGUUCGCAUAUAGAAAUUUCACUAGCUAAGCCUCCAUCUGACAAAAAGAAGAAAGAAGAAAUUCUUAGAGCAAGGGAACGAAGAAUGAUGCAAUCAUUGCAAAGUCGUGGCGGAGGGUCUCCUUCCCAUCCUGGAAUGAUGGGAGGCCCGAUGCCAGUUCGUGGUCCUGGACAAGGUCCUAGAGGCACCGGUGCAGGUAUGCGUGGACAAAUGGGACGAGGCGAUUAUGCUCUCAAGGAAAUAGAUUAUGAUUACGACUAUUACGGUUAUGGGGAUUAUCGAGGUGGCUACAGUGAUCCAUAUUACGAUGACUAUUUUCGAUACGAAGAUUGCUAUUUCGAUUAUGCGCCGCCUCCGCCACCUGCCAGAGGGAGAGGCAGGCAGCCUCAACCGCUGCCAGUGCAGUAGGUUGUGUCGCUUAAAGUUUCUUCGCCAACCAAUACAGUUCGCUUUAUCGCUUUACUACAUUGGAUAACUCUGCUAACUCUACUGCUGUAUGUAAAAAGAUUUGGCUGGGCGUGGGCGUGGAGUGGUGCCGCGUGGCCGAAUCGGUGGCCCGCAAACCACCCGUGGGCCAGUCAGGGGGGGGCGCAACCCCG